UACAGAGGGUGCGAGCGUUAAUCGGAAUUACUGGGCGUAAAGCGUGCGUAGACGGUUAUUUAAGUCGGGUGUGAAAGCCCCGGGCUCAACCUGGGAAUUGCAUUCGAGACUGAAUAGCUAGGGUACAGUAGAGGGAAGUGGAAUUUCCGGUGUAGCGGUGAAAUGCGUAGAUAUCAGGAGGAACACCGGUGGUGUAGACGGCUUUCUGGACCGUAACUGACGCUGAGACACGAAAGCGUGGGUAGCAAACAGG
rnacentral:rRNA from 1 species